CCUACGGGUGGCAGCAGUGGGGAAUAUUGGACAAUGGGGGGAACCCUGAUCCAGCGACGCCGCGUGAGUGAAGAAGUAUUUCGGUAUGUAAAGCUCUAUCAGCAGGGAAGAAAGAAAUGACGGUACCUGACUAAGAAGCCCCGGCUAACUACGUGCCAGCAGCCGCGGUAAUACGUAGGGGGCGAGCGUUAUCCGGAUUUAUUGGGUUAAAAGGGUGCGCAGGGGGUCUGUUAAGUCAGCGGUAAACGCCCGGGCCUAAACCCCGGCCCGGCGUUGAAACUGGCAGUCUCGAGUUGGAGAGAAGUAGGCGGAAUGCGCGGUGUAGCGGUGAAAUGCAUAGAUAUCGCGCAGAACUCCGAUUGCGAAGGCAGCAUGCCGGCUCCAAACUGACGCUGAGGCACGAAAGCGUGGGUAUCGAACAGGAUUAGAUACCCGUGUAGUC
rnacentral:rRNA from 1 species